UACAGAGGGGGGCAAGCGUUAUUCGGAAUUAUUGGGCGUAAAGGGCGCGUAGGCGGCUUCGCAAGUGGUGGGUGAAAUCCCCUCGGCUUAACCGAGGAACUGCCCUCCAAACUGCGUUGCUUGAGUCCGGGAGAGGUGAGUGGAAUUCCCAGUGUAGCGGUGAAAUGCGUAGAUAUUGGGAGGAACACCAGUGGCGAAGGCGGCUCACUGGACCGGAACUGACGCUGAGGCGCGAAAGCGUGGGGAGCAAACGGG
rnacentral:rRNA from 1 species